CAAAUUAGAGCUUGUGAAAGUUUUUCAUUUACAUUGAAAUGAUAUUAAUUUUAAAAUUAAUUAAUUUGA
rnacentral:tRNA from 1 species